AUGGCCGACCCACAAUGUACUGUGUGGCUGGAGUCGAACUCUUAGGCGGGUUACUACCAUGAUCCUGGUUACAAUGAACAGGAAACAAUAACAGAGGUGCUUUCCUGUCUGGAGAUAUCACCCCCCAGCGGUGUGCCAGGCGCGUCGCCAUGGGAGCAGCCAGGAGACAUGGGGCGACAUGAAGAGACGCCAUGAGGCAUGCAACACUGCUCCAGCCCGUGCUCCUGCCUGCUGACCUGCCUGCUCGCAGACACGGGCCUCGCCGCCUCCUCGGCCUCCACCAAGCAGCGACGCAAGGGCCGCGGAGGCGGCGCCGCGGCGCCCUCGGCCUCGGCCAGCAGGCGAGCGGGCGGCGCGCUGCGCCGUGGCGACGGCCAGCGCCAGUCCACGCCGUUCCUACCCGAGGCCCGCCAUGUCGUUUACCCGGGUCACAUGCAGGCUCGCUGGGUGGCCGAGGGCAGUCGACGGCGACCUCCAGGAGAAGCGCCGCGCGCCGCCACGUCGCGGCCAGUGUCACGGACCGCCUCCUCCAGACCCACGUCCGCAUCGGCGAGCCGCAGCCACCACCUCCCGACGGGUCACCCCGCGGGGCACCCCACGGGGCAGCCCGCUGGACAGCAGCCCGGUGCGGGGAAGGACCGCGAUAAGCCUGCGAGGGGCGCCGCGAGGGCCGGGCUGCAGCGGGGCCCGCGCCCACCAGGGCCGCAGUGCGC